rnacentral:lncRNA from 1 species
UUUGUAUAUUUUAUUUAUAAGAAAUUUGUGCUAAAAGCAUAUUUAAAUAUCAAAGACCGUUCUUCUUUGCGUUAUUUCACUCCCACUCCGGGGAUGUAAAUUUUGGACGAGACAAACAUACAUAUACACACAGUUCAAACAGAAGCUGUCAAAAGUAAAUACGUCUAUAGACUUCACUAAGCACUACCGUGCAACAGAUGGUGUUC